rnacentral:rRNA from 1 species
CCUACGGGUGGCAGCAGUGAGGAAUAUUGGUCAAUGGACGAGAGUCUGAACCAGCCAAGUCGCGUGAAGGAUGAAGGAUCUAUGGUUUGUAAACUUCUUUUAUAUGGGAAUAAAGUGAGGAACGUGUUCCUUUUUGUAUGUACCAUAUGAAUAAGCAUCGGCUAACUCCGUGCCAGCAGCCGCGGUAAUACGGAGGAUGCGAGCGUUAUCCGGAUUUAUUGGGUUUAAAGGGUGCGUAGGUGGUUAAUUAAGUCAGCGGUGAAAGUUUGUGGCUCAACCAUAAAAUUGCCGUUGAAACGGGCUGUCUUGAGUAUAUUUGAGGUAGGCGGAAUGCGUGGUGUAGCGGUGAAAUGCAUAGAUAUCACGCAGAACUCCGAUUGCGAAGGCAGCUCACUAAACUAUAACUGACACUGAAGCACGAAAGCGUGGGUAUCAAACAGGAUUAGAUACCCCAGUAGUC